rnacentral:rRNA from 2 species
GUUGCAGGGUAUAGACCCGAAACCCGGUGAUCUAGCCAUGGGCAGGUUGAAGGUUGGGUAACACUAACUGGAGGACCGAACCGACUAAUGUUGAAAAAUUAGCGGAUGACCUGUGGCUGGGGGUGAAAGGCCAAUCAAACCGGGAGAUAGCUGGUUCUCCCCGAAAGCUAUUUAGGUAGCGCCUCGUGAAUUCAUCUCCGGGGGUAGAGCACUGUUUCGGCUAGGGGGCCAUCCCGGCUUACCAACCCGAUGCAAACUGCGAAUACCGGAGAAUGUUAUCACGGGAGACACACGGCGGGUGCUAACGUCCGUCGUGAAGAGGGAAACAACCCAGACCGCCAGCUAAGGUCCCAAAGUCAUGGUUAAGUGGGAAACGAUGUGGGAAGGCCCAGACAGCCAGGAUGUUGGCUUAGAAGCAGCCAUCAUUUAAAGAAAGCGUAAUAGCUCACUGGUCGAGUCGGCCUGCGCGGAAGAUGUAACGGGGCUAAACCAUGCACCGAAGCUGCGGCAGCGACACUGUGUGUUGUUGGGUAGGGGAGCGUUCUGUAAGCCUGUGAAGGUGUGUCGUGAGGCAUGCUGGAGGUAUCAGAAGUGCGAAUGCUGACAUAAGUAACGAUAAAGCGGGUGAAAAGCCCGCUCGCCGGAAGACCAAGGGUUCCUGUCCAACGUUAAUCGGGGCAGGGUGAGUCGACCCCUAAGGCGAGGCCGAAAGGCGUAGUCGAUGGGAAACGGGUUAAUAUUCCCGUACUUGGUGUUACUGCGAAGGGGGGACGGAGAAGGCUAUGUUGGCCGGGCGACGGUUGUCCCGGUUUAAGCGUGUAGGUGUGUGUUCCAGGUAAAUCCGGUUCACUUUAACACUGAGGCGUGACGACGAGGCACUACGGUGCUGAAGCAACAAAUGCCCUGCUUCCAGGAAAAGCCUCUAAGCAUCAGGUAACAUCAAAUCGUACCCCAAACCGACACAGGUGGUCAGGUAGAGAAUACCAAGGCGCUUGAGAGAACUCGGGUGAAGGAACUAGGCAAAAUGGUGCCGUAACUUCGGGAGAAGGCACGCUGACACGUAGGUGAAGUGAUUUACUCAUGGAGCUGAAGUCAGUCGAAGAUACCAGCUGGCUGCAACUGUUUAUUAAAAACACAGCACUGUGCAAACACGAAAGUGGACGUAUACGGUGUGACGCCUGCCCGGUGCCGGAAGGUUAAUUGAUGGGGUCAGCGCAAGCGAAGCUCCUGAUCGAAGCCCCGGUAAACGGCGGCCGUAACUAUAACGGUCCUAAGGUAGCGAAAUUCCUUGUCGGGUAAGUUCCGACCUGCACGAAUGGCGUAAUGAUGGCCAGGCUGUCUCCACCCGAGACUCAGUGAAAUUGAACUCGCUGUGAAGAUGCAGUGUACCCGCGGCAAGACGGAAAGACCCCGUGAACCUUUACUAUAGCUUGACACUGAACAUUGAGCCUUGAUGUGUAGGAUAGGUGGGAGGCUUUGAAGUGUGGACGCCAGUCUGCAUGGAGCCGACCUUGAAAUACCACCCUUUAAUGUUUGAUGUUCUAACGUGGACCCGUUACCCGGGUUGCGGACAGUGUCUGGUGGGUAGUUUGACUGGGGCGGUCUCCUCCUAAAGAGUAACGGAGGAGCACGAAGGUUGGCUAAUCCUGGUCGGACAUCAGGAGGUUAGUGCAAUGGCAUAAGCCAGCUUGACUGCGAGCGUGACGGCGCGAGCAGGUGCGAAAGCAGGUCAUAGUGAUCCGGUGGUUCUGAAUGGAAGGGCCAUCGCUCAACGGAUAAAAGGUACUCCGGGGAUAACAGGCUGAUACCGCCCAAGAGUUCAUAUCGACGGCGGUGUUUGGCACCUCGAUGUCGGCUCAUCACAUCCUGGGGCUGAAGUAGGUCCCAAGGGUAUGGCUGUUCGCCAUUUAAAGUGGUACGCGAGCUGGGUUUAGAACGUCGUGAGACAGUUCGGUCCCUAUCUGCCGUGGGCGCUGGAGAACUGAGGGGGGCUGCUCCUAGUACGAGAGGACCGGAGUGGACGCAUCACUGGUGUUCGGGUUGUCAUGCCAAUGGCACUGCCCGGUAGCUAAAUGCGGAAGAGAUAAGUGCUGAAAGCAUCUAAGCACGAAACUUGCCCCGAG